GCAAACUUGGUCAUUUAGAGGAAGUAAAAGUCGUAACAAGGUUUCCGUAGGUGAACCUGCGGAAGGAUCAUUACUGAGUAAAGGUCUUAAUUGGCCUGACCUCCAACCCUUUGUUUAAUUAUACCUCAUGUUGCUUCGGUUAAACCAGUUGGUUAAUUCCACGGUUGGGAAUUUAAUUAUUCCUAACUAGUGUUGACCGAUAGCCUUCAUUUAAAACUUCUUAAUUAAAAUUGAUGUCUGAAAUUUAAUUUUUAAUUAAAAUAAAACUUUCAACAACGGAUCUCUUGGUUCUGGCAUCGAUGAAGAACGCAGC
rnacentral:misc_RNA from 1 species